GAUGAACGCUGGCGGCGUGCCUAAUACAUGCAAGUCGAGCGAAUGGAUUAAGAGCUUGCUCUUAUGAAGUUAGCGGCGGACGGGUGAGUAACACGUGGGUAACCUGCCCAUAAGACUGGGAUAACUCCGGGAAACCGGGGCUAAUACCGGAUAACAUUUUGAACCGCAUGGUUCGAAAUUGAAAGGCGGCUUCGGCUGUCACUUAUGGAUGGACCCGCGUAGCAUUAGCUAGUUGGUGAGGUAACGGCUCACCAAGGCAACGAUGCGUAGCCGACCUGAGAGGGUGAUCGGCCACACUGGGACUGAGACACGGCCCAGACUCCUACGGGAGGCAGCAGUAGGGAAUCUUCCGCAAUGGACGAAAGUCUGACGGAGCAACGCCGCGUGAGUGAUGAAGGCUUUCGGGUCGUAAAACUCUGUUGUUAGGGAAGAACAAGUGCUAGUUGAAUAAGCUGGCACCUUGACGGUACCUAACCAGAAAGCCACGGCUAACUACGUGCCAGCCGCCGCAGUAACAC
rnacentral:rRNA from 1 species